GGGCCCAUAGCUCAGUUGGUAGAGCAGCGCUUUUGCAAAGCGAAGGUCAGGAGUUCGAAUCUCCUUGGGUCCA
rnacentral:tRNA from 1 species